UGUUAGUUUUAACAUCUCUCUCCCCCUUCAUCUCCGGCUCCAUCUCCGGCCACCGGCACUCCAUCUCCGGAUCUAUUGAAGUUGUAUCAAGUUUUUUGAGUGGUUAGUUGAUGGAGGUUGCAGUUCUUUUUGUGGGGGAGAUCUAUCCAAAAGUGAUGCACAUGAAGGAUGACGCUAAGGAGCAGAAGCAGGUCGAAAGAUGAGUAUGUGGAUUACUUAGUUUUGUUAUUGUUGUUUGAUGCGUACUGAUAACCAUUGAAAUCGAAACUCAGGACGGAAACAAAACGACUAUGGUAACUUUUAAGACUUUAGACGCUAAUGUUUCCCCCAUCCCCCAUAUGCUGGCCAACUCCGAUAAUGGUUUAAAUCUUGUUGAAAGCUACAAUGUCGCAACUUUGAAUGUAUUCAUUUGCAGGUUCAACUGUAAGACGCUCCUCAAUAAGGCUGUCGACAGACACAAGAUCAUCAAUGAUGGCAGGUUUUCUGAAUACUUUCUUGUUGUGUGAUCGUCUACUGUUGAGUUCUUCUGAGAAGUUUAAAGAGAUUCGGCUGAUCUUGUCACAACAGCAGCCUUCUCUAGUUUUGAAUUGUUUCUCACUUCUCUUGAAAUGAGACGAGGCUUACUGGAGUUUACUAUUUUCUGACUUAAAAGCAACUUCACCAUUGGGGGAGAAAAAAAAAAAUUAUUACGACGCAAGAAACGCCAGGUGACUUCAACUCUGCUUUCAUGCAUCCAAACUCACUACAUUAAGCAGUCAAUAGAGUAGAAGAAUAUACAAACAUCGAUUCGAUUGACAUCUUCAAACAGGUUAUCGGUACCCCAUGAAACAAUUCAGUCUCCUGCUCUGUUAUCCAAAGCCAUUUUAUGAGAAGAUCCCCCUUAAACAGACUGGAGUUGAUGAAAAAGAAGAACAAGAAGCUGGAGCAGCAGUAGACGAAGAGGAGGAAGCUAGCGUCACAAUCAAUCUUCGACGAUUCACUUCCCACAUCCCUGAAUAUCUUGACUUAACAGUUCUCAUUGUCCACCAUCAUUGCACUGGAAGUUAGAACAUGAAUACAUUUCUUUCCAUCGGUAUGUCAGGCGUAUAGGAUCACCAAUUCAAAGAGAAAGUACUCAUCAGAUCCUUGGAUAAGUGUGCAAAACAGGAGAACUUGGGGAUAAGUAUAUUAAUCUAAGCGUUGUGACGUUGGCAAUGAUGAGGUCGAUGUUGAGGCCGUAGCAAAACUUUGCGGCGAGUUCGAAGGAUUCGGGUCCUCCUGACAUAUUCUGGAUUGUGAUUCUGGUAGGUUUUAAGUCUCUGCUUGAGUCUGAUAUCAGUUUUCAGAUCUUUCCACUCCUUGAGACUAGGGGGAACUGCACGUGGAAAUGAGUAUAGGUCAGAACCAAAAUAUCUGCAAUUACUGGGCCAAUUGGAAAGGAGUCUAGUGAUUUGUGGCCUACGAUUGCUAGUGCAACCAAUGUCAUUGUGUAAUAUCUAGAUUUUUCUUCAGGUGUCAGUGAGGAGUAGUAGUUUUAUUUUAUUUGUUAUUGAAAAGAAAAGAGAGUUUUCUAAAUAUGGAUCCAUCAUCCAUAUUUGUUUUGAAAGUUUUUGUUUUCCUGUGACGUACAUAUAUUAGAAUUGAUAUUCUAUGAUCCAGCUGAUGGUAACAUCGUUUUCCUUU